rnacentral:rRNA from 1 species
AGUGAACGCUGGCGGUAGGCCUAACACAUGCAAGUCGAACGGCAGCACAGUAAGAGCUUGCUCUUACGGGUGGCGAGUGGCGGACGGGUGAGGAAUACAUCGGAAUCUACUUUUUCGUGGGGGAUAACGUAGGGAAACUUACGCUAAUACCGCAUACGACCUACGGGUGAAAGCAGGGGAUCUUCGGACCUUGCGCGAUUGAAUGAGCCGAUGUCGGAUUAGCUAGUUGGCGGGGGAAAGGCCCACCAAGGCGACGAUCCGUAGCUGGUGUGAGAGGAUGGUAGGCCACAUUGGAAGGGAGACACGGUCCAGAGUCCUACGGGAGGCAGCAGUGGGGAAUAUUGGACAAUGGGCGCAAGCCUGAUCCAGCCAGACCGCGUGGGUGAAGAAGGCCUUCGGGUUGUAAAGCCCUUUUGUUGGGAAAGAAAAGCAGCAGGUUAAUACCCCGCUGUUCUGACGGUACCCAAAGAAUAAGCACCGGCUAACUUCGUG